rnacentral:rRNA from 1 species
AACGAACGCUGGCGGCAGGCCUAACACAUGCAAGUCGAACGCUCCGCAAGGGGAGUGGCAGACGGGUGAGUAACGCGUGGGAACCUACCUUGUGGUACGGAACAACCAAGGGAAACUUUGGCUAAUACCGUAUGAGCCCGAGAGGGGAAAGAUUUAUCGCCAUGAGAUGGGCCCGCGUAGGAUUAGCUAGUUGGUGAGGUAAUGGCUCACCAAGGCGACGAUCCUUAGCUGGUCUGAGAGGAUGACCAGCCACACUGGGACUGAGACACGGCCCAGACUCCUACGGGAGGCAGCAGUGGGGAAUAUUGGACAAUGGGCGCAAGCCUGAUCCAGCCAUGCCGCGUGUGUGAUGAAGGCCUUAGGGUUGUAAAGCACUUUCGCCGAUGAAGAUAAUGACGGUAGUCGGAGAAGAAGCCCCGGCUAACUUCGUGCCAGCCGCCGCCGUAA